rnacentral:tRNA from 1 species
GGGGGUGUAGCUCAGCUGGUUAGAGCGUCUGCCUGUCACGCAGAAGGUCGCGGGUCCGAGCCCCGUCACUCCCGCCA